GCGCGGUGAUGACGUCACAGCGGGGGCGGGACGGGCGGACGGGUUUAACGCGAACAGGAGCGGGGGGGCGAGGCUGCUGCUGCCCCCGCCGCUGCAAAAAGGUUCUUGGGGGCCUGGUCCUGCAUAGCCCUGGUAGUGACAGUAGCAGCUUGGGCUUUAGCUCUGGGUUUUAAAAGCCUGACAACCCAGCAGGCAGCACGUGAAUCCCGGCCCACCCUGCCUCAGGUUCACACAGCGCACAGACUCUGAUUUGAGGUGGUGGCGGGUGUAGGGAUGGCACUACUGUGAGGGGAUUUGCCCUCUCAACUGCAAGAAAAUUGGGAAGAGGAGAAUGAAAGACUUAAGAUGGAGCACCAUACAGUGAUAUUUCAUGUCAUGUGGGACGGAUAUCCCUGCCAAAUGUGUUUGCUGUGAACUUAAAAGGGAAUUUGCCACUGCAAGACACUGAACCUCUGACAUCACCACAUUGGCUGCCUGACUUUUGACUUGAGAGGAACAAAGCCAGAAGUGUAUUUUGACCCCAUCCCUAAUACAGGCCUUUAACGUGACAGAUCUUUCUAAGAAGCAAGUGUGUCGAUCAGCUUAUGUGUAUGGCCACAGGCAUGUCUGUUAAAUUCCUAAUGAUGGAAGCUUCACCUCUUGAAUGCAGUGGAAGGAUAUGUCCUGUCUACCUCCAUCACAGGACAUGAGCAAGACCAGGGCAGUUAUAGCAAAGCCAUAAAGGCUAACUGAUCCCAAAGUCCUGCACACCCUUAUUCUCAUAACAACUCUCAUCCCCCAGACGUGGGCAGAGUACCAGACUGGACUGGGCUGUGGGAAGCAGGAGCAAAGGACACACACUUCACGGGGUUAUCAAGCGGGAAGGAGAGAGACAGCUGCUGCUGGGCAUCGGCAGCAGGCUCUGCACACCCUUCCCUACCAGUGUGCCAGGGGGAAAGGAGAGAGGACAGUCUGCUGGGACUUCAGAUACCGGACUGCACACCUCUUCACCUCCAGCUACCAGAGUGCCACGGAGACUCCAGGGACAAGGGACAGACUCUGCAUGCCUGCUCGCCCUUCGGCUAGCGGAAAAGCUACAAUAGCGGGGGCGAGCUCCUUGUCCAGCUCCCUGCCGAGCUGACUUUUCAAUAAAGAGCUUAACAUUAA